rnacentral:lncRNA from 10 species
AUAAUGCGAGGCAAGGUCCAGCCAUUCCACCCGGCAUACAGGCUUAUGGAGCAGCCCCCUUUGAAGAUCUCCAGGUAGAUUCCACAGAGAUGCCAAAGUGUGGAGAUCUUAUUCCUAGAUUUGGACUGCCCUUACGGAUCGGCUCAGAUAACGGGCCGGCAUUUGUGGCUGACUUGAUACAGAAGACAGCAAAGGUGAUCAAGUAUGGAUUAAAGACUGGAAUGUAGCUUCUUUGUGCCCAUGGUGGAUAGGACCCCAGAUUGUCAUCCUGACCACUCUCACCGCUGUGAAGGUAGAAGGAAUCCCAGCCUGGAUCCACCACAGCCAUGUAAAACCUGCAGCGCCUGAAACCUGGGAGGCAAGACCAAGCCCGGACAACCCUUGCAGAGUGACCUUGAAGAUGAUGACAAGCCCUGCUCCAGUCACACCCAGAAGCUGACUAGUCCAUGCACGGCCGAAGCAUGAGGAAGCUCAUCGUGGAACUCAUUUUUCUUAAAUUUUGGACUUGUACAGUAAGGACUUCAACUGACCUUCCUCAGACUGAGGUAGGGCAAAAAGUUAAAACAGUCUUUCUGUUUAAAAGGGACUUGUGUGUAUAAUGCCACCCAGUACAAGGUAUGCAGCUCAGGAAGUGACCAGACUCAAGUGUGCUACAACCCAGUAGAACUACUUAAUCCCCAUUGGAAAACAAGAGAGUAUGUAACUCUAGGAGUCAAUGGAAUUGGACUGGCAGGAAGACCUAGGUAAUGUAGGUGGAAGUGAGAACUCCCACUAGUGAGUGAGGUUCUCAAAGGGGAGAAUGAGGAGGGAAGCCAUUUCUCUUACUGUCUCCUGUCUCUGAAGAACAGGAGGAAGUAAAAGUUGAAAAACAACAGGAAGGAAGUCAGUGGCAAGACCAGCCAGUGCCACUGAUGACCUGGCCUGAGGUUAAAAGGUUAACCACCCCCCUCUCCUCUAACCACAUGUGCUCUCAAUCCAUCACGACCCUUUCAUGUGGAACCCCUUAGAGUUGUAAGCCCUUAAAAGGGCCAGGAACUCUGUCUUCGGGGAGCUCGGCUCUUAAGAUGCGAGUCUGCCAACGCUCCCAGCCAAAUAAAAACCUCUUCCUUCUUC